rnacentral:rRNA from 1 species
GACCAGACUCCUACGGGAGGCAGCAGUGGGGAAUAUUGCACAAUGGGGGAAACCCUGAUGCAGCGACGCCGCGUGAGCGAUGAAGUAUUUCGGUAUGUAAAGCUCUAUCAGCAGGGAAGAAAAUGACGGUACCUGACUAAGAACCCCCGGCUAACUACGUGCCAGCAGCCGCGGUAAUACGUAGGGGGCAAGCGUUAUCCGGAUUUACUGGGUGUAAAGGGGGCGCAGACGGCGAUGCAAGCCAGGAGUGAAAGCCCGGGGCCCAACCCCGGGACUGCUCUUGGAACUGCGUGGCUGGAGUGCAGGAGGGGCAGGCGGAAUUCCUGGUGUAGCGGUGAAAUGCGUAGAUAUCAGGAGGAACACCGGUGGCGAAGGCGGCCUGCUGGACUGCAACUGACGUUGAGGCCCGAAAGCGUGGGGAGCAAACAGGAUUAGAUACCCCCGUAA